CCUACGGGUGGCUGCAGUAGGGAAUUUUGCGCAAUGGGCGAAACCCUGACGCAGCAACGCCGCGUGAUCGAUGAAGCCCUUCGGGGUGUAAAGAUCUGUCAGUGGGGACGAAACCUGACGAUACCCACCGAGGAAGCACCGGCUAACUCCGUACCAGCAGCCGCGGUCAUACGGGGGGUGCAAGCGUUGUCCGGAAUCAUUGGGCGUAAAGAGUUUGUAGGUGGUACGUUAAGUAUGGUGUUAAAGGCGGAAGCUCAAGUUCCGUAGGGCACUGGAUACUGGCGAGCUUGAAUGCGGUAGAGGUAAAGGGAAUUCCUGGUGUAGCGGUGAAAUGCGUAGAUAUCAGGCGGAACAUCGAUGGCGUAAGCGCUUUACGGGGCCGUAAUUGACACUGAGGAACGAAAGCCGGGGUAGCAAAUGGGAUUAGAUACCCCUGUAGUC
rnacentral:rRNA from 1 species